AUUUGUACCGGAAGUUUAUUAUAUUCGUCCAACUUGACACAUGAUGUCUUCAUUAUUCUAUUUUACAACAGGGUUCAAUGUCUCUGACAAGUUGGAAUCCAAUGUAUAUUAUGAAUCAGAAAAUCUCUUAGCCUUAGAAUAAUUGUUACGAAAAUCUCUAUCUUUUAGUCAUUCCAGCAAACUGCAAUAUUUUUUUGUUAAGAGAAAUGGCUUAUGCUGCUCUUUCUUCACUCAUGUAUACAUUGGAUCAACCCAUGAAACCUAAUCAAUCUUUCGUUUGUCUAAGUUCUACACAAAAACAUGUUCGAUCUCUCUAUCAAAAUCUUUCUGUUCUGCAAGUUUUCCUUGACAACGCAACAAAGGAAACCAAAGAUAUUGAAACUCUUAAGUUUAUAGAAAAGAGGAUCAGGGAUGUGAUAUAUGAAGCAGAAGAUAAAGUUGAUUCAAGUCUAAGAAACAUCAUUCUAGCAGAUUGCACAGAGAAGAGAGAAGGGGCUGCGAAAUUCUUCAACGAAGAGUUGCUAAAAGUGGAAAAAGAUGUUGAUUCUCUCAAUAAAGAGGUGAUGUUGAUCGAGUUUAACAAGCAUGGAAGCAAAUCUGCAGAAUUAGCAAGUAUUUCCUCCUCACUAGAAAAAAGUACAAUCGAGGAAAAUACUAUUGUUGGGAUGGAGGAUGACUUCAACAUCAUACUUGAUCGUCUCACUUCACAAACAGAGGAGUUAACUGUCAUACCAAUUUUUGGUAUGGGCGGUAUAGGUAAGACAACUCUUGCCAGAAAAGUUUAUGAUAAUUCAUGUAUUCGUUCUCGAUUUGAUAAACAAGAAUGGGUCACUAUCUCUGAAAAAUUCAAUGAGAGACAAAUGCUUCUUGAACUUGUCUCUUCAAUUACUGGAAGCAAACAAGAAACAAGCAGUGAUGAACUAAUGGAGAUUGUGUAUAGAGGUCUGAAGCGUAGGAGAUUUCUAAUUGUCAUAGAUGAUAUUUGGAGUACUGAGGCAUGGGACCAAAUGCAAAGAAUAUUUCCCAAUGAUGACAAUAAAAGCCGAAUCCUAUUAACCACUCGACUCAAGUAUGUUGCUGAUUAUGUUAGUUGCCCUUAUUUUCCGCCUCAUAGUAAGUCUUUUCUAAGUUUAGAAGAUAGUUGGAAUCUAUUCACCGAAAAAUUAUUCAAAAAAGAUCACUGUCCUCCUCUUCUAGAAGAAAUAGGGAAGCAUAUUGUACAACAAUGUCGAGGAUUUCCUCUCUCAGUGGUUGUCGUUGCUGGACUUGUUGGAAAAAUGGACCCAACGUAUGAUAAUUGGAAGAAUGUUGAGGAAAAUCUGAACUCAUUCUUUGGUACAGUGUCCGAACGGUGCCAAUCAAUUCUGUCUCUGAGCUACAAUUAUUUGCCCCAAUAAUUGAAGGCUUGUUUUCUCUAUGUUGGAGUUUUUCCAGAAGACAGAGAGAUUAAUGUUUCCAAGUUGAUUAAGGUAUGGAUUGCUGAGCAAUUCGUAAAGGAAAGGAAGGAUAAAAGAUUAGAAGUGGUGGCAGAGGAGUAUGUAGAAGAAUUAAUUGAUAGAAGUCUAAUUUUGGCUGGUAAACAAAGGGCUAAUGGAAGGACGAGAACUUGCAAAAUUCAUGAUCUUCUUCGCCAACUGUGCCUAAGUGAAGCUCAUACUGAAAAUGUUGUGCAUGUCAUGAAUGGGAAUGUUCUCGAAGCCAUAGAUGAUCAACGUAGAGUGAUCCUUCUGUCUAAAUAUGAAGAGAAGUAUGAUUAUCGUCCGCGACAUAGUAGUGGUAUUGUCCGUACCUUUAUUUCAAUGGGUGUAGCUUUUCCAAAAGAGAUGUCUUCCAGUAUUUCAGAGUUCAAAUUGCUUAAGGUGUUGGACUCAUUAUCAAUUAAAACCGAUUUCUCUGGGGUAAUACCUCAACUUGUACAUUUGAGAUAUGUUGCUGCAAGAAUUGAGAAAGGUCUUUCACUAGCCAAAUUGAGAAAUCUACAGACCAUAAUUUUUAAAGGACUUACAGUACUGCAUAAGUUGGAGCAGCCACUAGAUAUCUGGCGAAUGACAGAGAUAAGACAUUUGCAUAUUAGAUCGCCUCUAUAUAUAUCAAAUCCUGUUGAAGCAGAACAAACUUUGUUUCUCAAUAACUUGCAAACACUUUAUCUCUAUAACUCUCCUUUUGUUGCGGAAAUCAUAAGAAGAAGUCCGAAUCUAAAAAAGCUAAAGAUUUCUGAUUAUUCUGAGCAUCCUGAUUGGCCUGCAAUUCUUGAUUCUCUGAGUCUUAUACAGGAUCUGGAGACACUACACAUAAAAUGGACGAUUUUCUGUGGGGAUAAUUUCUGUCCUAAUCUCAAGCAACUGAAAUUAACAUGUACUUGGAUACCAUGGGAAGAUGUGAAAUUGCUGGCUAAUUUACCGAAUCUUGAGGUGCUCAAAGGGGAUCGUGCAUUCGAUGGAACAUACUGGAAAUUAGAUGAAGAUAUUGUGAUUCACAAAUUAAAAUAUCUACUACUGAAUGGGUGCUAUCAUCUGGAAAGGUGGGAAUUAGCAGCUGGUAGUGAUAAUUUUCCGGUGCUUGAGCAACUAAUACUGGAUAGUUUGUAUACACUGGAGGAGAUUCCGGAGAGUAUUGGAGAUAUAAUGACACGAAAAUUCAUCGGAAUAAAUUGGUGCGGCUCUAGUGUUCAUACAAGUGCAAAGAAAAUUCAACAAGAGCAACAAAGCUUGGGAAAUUAUGAGCUUCAAGUUAAACUCUCCUAUGAAGGAAUGAAAGAUGAAGAGAGAGAAGGAGUGGCACUUGCAGGAAGCUGGUGAUGAUUACACUGCUUCUCAUUAUAUGCUUCCACAUCUUCUCAAUUUGGUAAAGCAGAUAAAAUCAUCAUUCUAUUCACUAAGCUGUACUCCCCAUUACUUACAUACAACAUACAAUAUAAUUGGCUAAAGCUGGGAUAAGAAACCUUUACGGAAUAGGGAAACAGUGAAGGUACCACUUGUUGGAUGUAUGAUCGAGGUAUCUUGAAGUUCGAUGCUUUUAGCACAUGCUCUAAUGGGGUUUGGAAAAGAUCCCUCCAUGUAAAUUGCAGUGCACUGUUUUUAAGUGUUUCAAUUAGUUUUUACCAGAUUGUAAAGAUAAUUAUUGAGUUGAUCCAUUUUGGCCUCCAUAGAUAAUUUUCAUCCUAUUAUUUAAGUUAUAUGUAAAUUUUA